rnacentral:rRNA from 1 species
UACAGAGGUGGCAAGCGUUGUUCGGAAUUACUGGGCGUAAAGGGCGCGUAGGCGGCCUUGUAAGUCCUGUGUGAAAUCCCCCGGCUCAACUGGGGAACUGCACAGGAGACUGCUUGGCUUGAGUCCGGAGGGGGCGAGUGGAAUUCCUGGUGUAGCGGUGAAAUGCGCAGAUAUCAGGAGGAACACCAAUGGCGAAGGCAGCUCGCUGGAACGGUACUGACGCUGAGGCGCGAAAGCGUGGGGAGCGAACAGG